GAUGAAGAACGUAGCGAAAUGCGAUAAGUAAUGUGAAUUGCAGAAUUCAGUGAAUCAUCGAAUCUUUGAACGCACAUUGCGCCCGCCAGUAUUCUGGCGGGCAUGCCUGUUCGAGCGUCAUUUCAACCCUCAGGCCCCCAGUGCCUGGUGUUGGGGAUCGGCCCAGCCUUCCUGUAAGGCCGCCGGCCCCGAAAUCUAGUGGCGGUCUCGCUGUAGUCCUCCUCUGCGUAGUAGCACAACCUCGCAGUUGGAACGCGGCGGUGGCCAUGCCGUUAAACACCCCACUUCUGAAAGUUGACCUCAGAUCAGGUAGGAAUACCCGCUGAACUUAAGCAUAUCAAUAAGCGGAGGA
rnacentral:misc_RNA from 1 species